GUGACACCGUUUAACAGGUUAUCUAUACUAAGGCUGGGGUAACUGCCUCCUUUCAUUAACUUAGGUGUAUAUUCAGGACACAAAGUAAUUUCUAACCGUUUAAAAUACGAUAAGUAGCGACAGGCACCUUUUUUGUACGUAGCGUCCGUUAACGUGAAGUUUUCUGAUGUGUACAACCGUUCCUAACGUGACAUCGGACACUUUCGUUUAAUCAGGAGGAAUGUGACCCGUUAACCCACAACUCGCUCACAUCUCCAGUAGCGGCUCCCCACAUGCUUUCAGGAGUUUAUGUAAUCGAAGGAAAGCCACUAAGCUAAAGUCUUACAUCCCACAAAGAUGAGUGCUGCCGCGAGUUGGAAGAUGCUGUAGAUGAGAGGGAAGGCAAACAUCUUUUCCAGCUCCUCUGGGCUGAAGGACAGCUGGACGAUAGUGCUGCACAACUGGGCAUUCUGGAUACCUGUCUCCAGUGCAAUGGGUUGACCCACAAAGCGAGCCAGGAGGAACCCGAGGCUCAAUCCAAUAAAGGGGUAGACGGUGCCAAUUAUCCACAGGACGGGAGCAAUGGUCCAGGACGAUUGGUAGAGGACUCCUCCAAUCACAGCUAUA